GGAGAGGUGGCCGAGUGGUCGAUGGCGGUGCCCUGCUAAGGCAUUAGACCCGCAAGGGUCUCGAGGGUUCGAAUCCCUUCCUCUCCGCCA
rnacentral:tRNA from 1 species